GACGAACGCUGGCGGCGUGCUUAACACAUGCAAGUCGAACGGAAACGCCCUGCUUUCGUGGGGUGCUCGAGUGGCGAACGGGUGCGUAACACGUGAGUAACCUGCCCUCGACUUUGGGAUAACUUCAGGAAACUGGGGCUAAUACCCGAUAGGAGCUCCCGAUGCAUGGUGGGGGUUGGAAAGUUUCGCCUGUUGGGGAUGGACUGGCGGCUAAGCAGCUUGUUAGUGGGGUAGUGGCAUAUCAAGGCUUAGACGGAUAGCCGGCCUGAGAGAGUGACCAGCCCCAUAGCUCCUGCGUCACUCCCCAGAGUGUUACAAGGGGCAGCAGUGGCGAUUAUUACACAAUGAGAAGAAGCAUGCUCCAGAGACGCAGCGUGAGGGAUGACGUCCUUAGGGUUGUAAACAGCAUCCGCCUGAUACGAAGCGUGAGUGACGGUAUUCGGUGAAUAAGCACCGGCUAACUACGUG
rnacentral:rRNA from 1 species